AGGAGCAUCCAUAUCAGUACUAAUGCACGGGAUUCCAUCAGAACUCUGAACUUAAGCGUUCUUGGGUGAAAAUAGUUCUAAAAUGGGCUUGUC
rnacentral:rRNA from 1 species